AACGAACGCUGGCGGCAGGCUUAACACAUGCAAGUCGAACGCACCUUUCGGGGUGAGUGGCAGACGGGUGAGUAACGCGUGGGAAUCUACCCUUCUCUACGGGAUAGCUCCGGGAAACUGGAAUUAAUACCGUAUACGUCCUGAGGGAGAAAGAUUUAUCGGGGAAGGAUGAGCCCGCGUUGGAUUAGCUAGUUGGUGGGGUAAAGGCCUACCAAGGCGACGAUCCAUAGCUGGUCUAAGAGGAUGAUCAGCCACAUUGGGACUGAGACACGGCCCAAACUCCUACGGGAGGCGGCAGUGGGGAAUAUUGGACAAUGGGCGCAAGCCUGAUCCAGCCAUGCCGCGUGAGUGAUGAAGGCCCUAGGGUUGUAAAGCUCUUUCAGUGGGGACGGUAAUGACGGUACCCACAGAAGAAGCCCCGGCUAACUUCGUG
rnacentral:rRNA from 1 species